rnacentral:rRNA from 1 species
UGGGAAUAUUUGACAAUUGGCGAAAGGCUGAUCCAGCCAUGGCGCGGGUGUGAAGAAGGUCUUCGGAUUGUAAAGCACUUUAAGUUGGGAGGAAGGGCAGUAAGCGAAUACCUUGCUGGUUUGACGGUACCGACAGAAUAAACACCGGCUAACCCUGUGCCAGCAGCCGCGGUAAUACAGAGGGUGCAAGCGUUAAUCGGAAUUACUGGGCGUAAAGCGCGCGUAGGUGGUUCGUUAAGUUGAAUGUGAAAGCCCCGGGCUCAACCUGGGAACUGCAUCCAAAACUGGCGAGCUAGAGUAGGGCAGAGGGUGGUGGAAUUUCCUGUGUAGCGGUGAAAUGCGUAGAUAUAGGAAGGAACACCAGUGGCGAAGGCGACCACCUGGGCUCAUACUGACACUGAGGUGCGAAAGCGUGGGGAGCAAACAGG